UUUACUAAGAAGGAACUAAAUGCAUUUUAACAGACAAGAAAAAUAAUAUAUCAAAUUUCAGCAAUUUCAAAAUCUAUGAAUAAAUAUGUGAUUAACUGAAUAAUGAUGUGAUUAAAUAUUUUAAAAUCAACUGACAGCACUACUUACAAUUAUUUAAACAUGUAUCAAGCAUUAUCAAAUGUACAGUUCAAGUCCUGGAUGCUGAUUGAGAAAACUCACAAGCAGCUAUUUUCUAUGAAUACAAGCAGGGCCGUAGCAAGGUAUUCUGGGCCCCCUUAAUGUAUAUUGCUCUGGGCCCCUUUCAUAUAAAGGAUUUUUAUUUUUUUUAUUUGUUGUUUCUCCAUUAUUCAUUGUUUACAAUUGUUUUGUCAGUCCAGCAACUCAGCCAGGUAACUCCGCCCCUUCCAAUGUACAGCAAGCCGCAAACACUGAGUGCAUGAAGUAUCCAACAUUCCACACUCGGUUUUGAUGGUUGAAGAAGUGCAUCAUCCAGAUCACCGAUCUGCACAUGUCCCAGGACAAACAGUCCUCCUUUCUUCAACUGGUUGACAAAGCAGAUGAGCUGACAGGAGGAGCGUGGGUUUGCCACCAUCAGUAAGACCUGAGGCCGCCAGAACUUCACAUGAUCCUUACGGGAGUCUAACAUCAGCAGGUACCUGGUGAAAGAGGAGUGCUUGGCUGAUGUAGCCCCAGCUGCUGGUGGGAGAGCGGUACUGAAGGAACAGCAGGAGCAGGAGCAGCAGUGCAAUACUGGCUGAGGAAUACACUGGGUUUAUCACAAACAUCAUGACCACAUAGCUUACAAUUCCCAACAAACAGGUGUGCCAAGAAAAAAACUGAAAUGUUGGCCUGGAAAGAGAAAAACAGAAGAGAGAAAGAAGUAUCAGUAAAAAAUGUGAAGACAAUGCUUUCAUUUACAAAUUAAAGAUCUAUAUAAAUACGCCCUGAUAUGUUUGAGUAAUUAUCAAGAGGAAACUCUGAAAUCGGCCUAUUAAAUGUCCGCAGACACAUGGAGAGAUGAAUUUCAGAAUGAGAAGUUUGUUCCAUUUAGAGUUGAUAACAACAUUUCAGUAGUAGAUACCAAUACCACUGAAAUUUCACAAUUCUCAACUGCAAUUUCAAAAUCACAGCAAAACUAAUAUAAUUUAUAUACCUAAUAACACCUGUUUAAAUUAACUUAGUUCUCUUAAGUUACUUAUGACAUGCUGACAGCACAUGACACUGUAAUGCAAUUGACUGAGUUACUACCACUAAUUAUGACAAUAAUAAUAACAAAGGUUUCAUAUAGCGCUUUCAGCCAAUUCUACAUGUAAACAAGUACAUGUAUACAAAACAAGCAAACCAAACAAUAUAAUAACAACAAACACAGUAUACUUAAUAUAGAGACAAUGACGGAGCCAGAGUCAACAGUAUGGUUCGGAGUGAUGGUAUCAGCAGGAUUUGAUCCAACAGACAGUCAAAACAGAAUGAGUAACAGUAGAAAGAUAAAAUGUCAAAACAAGAGGGGGUCAUGAAACCGGCAAAUCCUGCAGCUCUCACG